rnacentral:rRNA from 1 species
GAAUGUAUCAUGUAGCGGGUGAAAUGCAUAGAUUUGAUACAGAACACCGAUAGCGAAGGCGGCUUACCAAACUGUAACUGACGCUCAUGCACGAAAGCGUGGGGGAGCAAACAGGAUUAGAUACCUGGUAGUCCACGCUGUAAACUAUGAUCACUCGCUGUUGGCGAUACACUGUCAGCGGCUUAGCGAAAGUGUUAAGUGAUCCACCUGGGGAGUACGAUCGCAAGGUUGAAACUCAAAGGAAUUGACGGGGGCCCGCACAAGCGGAGGAGCAUGUGGUUUAAUUCGAUGAUACGCGAGGAACCUUACCUGGGCUUAAAUGCAGAACGACCUCCCGAGAAAUCGGGACUUCCUUCGGGACGGACUGCAAGGUGCUGCAUGGUUGUCGUCAGCUCGUGCCGUGAGGUGUCGGGUUAAGUCCCAUAACGAGCGCAACCCUUAUCCUUAGUUGCCAACAGGUAAUGCUGGGAACUCUAAGGAAACUGCCUACGCAAGUAGUGAGGAAGGUGGGGAUGACGUCAAAUCAGCACGGCCCUUAUGUCCAGGGCUACACACGUGCUACAAUGGUCGGUACAGAGGGCAGCUACCUGGCAACAGGAUGCUAAUCUCGAAAGCCGAUCUCAGUUCGGAUUGGAGCCUGCAACUCGACUCCAUGAAGUUGGAUUCGCUAGUAAUCGCGCAUCAGCCAUGGCGCGGUGAAUACGUUCCCGGGCCUUGUACACACCGCCCGUCAAGCCAUGGAAGCUGGGAGUACCUGAAGUCUGUUACCGCAAGGAGCGGCCUAGGGUAAAACCAGUAACUGGGGCUAAGUCGUAACAAGGUAACCAAGGGCGAA